UCCCGGCACAUGUUGUGGGUGCUGCUCUGGU
rnacentral:piRNA from 1 species